CGCUCACUUGCCGGGAUGCACAGGCACGCCUCUGGCCAGGCCGGGCUGCGGGGGUUUGUGGCCUGGAGAAUCAAAGAGCCGCCCUCAGCUCGGAGAACACUUCCUCUAGAAGGCUCUGGUAACAGCACACCGGGUCUGAGGAGAAAGAGCCUCUGUGGGCCACGUCAGUGGCAACCCCAUCCCUUCAUUCACUGAGGCCGAAACCUUGGAUAGCCGUCCUGGAGUUUUUCAGACCCAUGUCCAAACCACUGGAGCAUCUUGUCAGCAGGAUUCCAACUUCUUCCAGAGCCCACCCGCCUCUCACCACCUCUCUGUCAUUUCCCACCUGGAUGAUUACAACAGUCCCUGUCGAGGCCCUGGCCCCACCACGCCACCAGUGGGGAGAAUGCUUCCUCUAGAAGGCUCUGGUGGAUUUGGGUGAUGAGGGGGAGAGGGGUAGUCCCGGGCCAAGCCACACCAGUGACCCCACGUGUGUUCAGAACCCUCCUGUCUACAUUUGAUUUCAUCUUGGCUACUCUUGUCAAGACAUGCAGUUUGUUAGUCUUGAGCAAGUAAGAGUCCUUAUUUGUAUGCCCUCACAUGUUAUCACAAAUCCCCCAGAUUCUUUUUCAGAUCUCAUGCCCUAAUUUGGGGUUUAUGAAAUCUACCAUGCUGAUAGGGAUUCCUGUCUGUCAUGGGGACUUUGAGCCAUGACUCAGAACAAGACACUUAUCAAUCUGGGGCCUCUCCGAAGAUGCUGAGACCAGGGCCAGUCUCAGCUGCAACGCCCUGCUUGGAAGCCACUAUGGGAUGAUUCUGCAACAGAUAUCAUGAUGCAACAGAUGCCCAUGAAUGACAUGGGAAAGCUGGGCCCCAUCGCCCAGGGGGACACUCCUGCU
rnacentral:lncRNA from 10 species